rnacentral:lncRNA from 1 species
UGUUAUGAUCUCCUUAAAAUAAGCAUCCCCUCUACAUACCCUGUCACUGAUAUUUUCUUUCUAUUUAUUAGCAAACUGAGGCAAUAUAUAAUGUUUCAUCACCUUAAUGGCCCUCCAAUGUUUCAACCCUUGCCCUAUUAUUUCUGCUGUUUAUUGCCUAGUAUUUGUGUGGUUAUUGAUCAUGCAUUAUUCUUUUGGAUUCUUACAACAUAUCUCCAUGUAGAAAACGAUCCUCUAUCGUCUUCGUCGUUGGCGUCAGCAACGCCAUUCAAGUCUUCCCCGGUUGUGCAUGGAGACAUGCUGGCGUCAGCGACGACGAUCGACACUACAUUCGAUAGCGACCGACCGCCGCAGGAUUCGGAGUCGGACAGCCAAAGCGACGGGCCGCAGAAAGAUAGUCCGAAACUCUAUGUAGAGGAGGAGAAAUCCGAUGUCGACACCGCGAGCUCAUCGUCGAGGUUUCGGUCGCUUCGAUCUUUCACGAAGUACGUCCGGGCCAAAGGAUGGAACGCGCCUCGAUCGACGGCGCCGACUCGCCGGUCACGGUCACUUCUUGGCGACGAACUUGCGCAUGCCCAUGGUCAUGGAAGAGAAGGUGAUGAGAGGAAGGAUAGGGGAAAAGAAACAACGAGGCCUUAUUGGAAGUGAAAUUACAAUUCAUGCAUGGGGUCUUGCUAUUAUUUAUUUAUUUAUUUAUUUAUUUAUUGACUCUUUUUUUUUUUGGAGCUCUUGUAUGUCAGUAUCUGUUUGACUGAAUUUUUUAUGGCAAAUAGAUCCAAAUAAAGUAACCUAAAUGCUUUAAUUAUGAACUAAUUGCAUUCAUAUUCAAACGUAUGUACAGCAUGUAGUUUGACAUUGAAUUUUUCUUUUCUUUUUUUUUUCUCGCUUUUUUUUUUUCCUUACAUUUGAUUGAAGGCUUGAAUAAUACCACCACCACCACAUUUUUCAUUAUAUUAAACUUGGCGAAUCUCGUUAGGUAAUGUUGCAUGUUCUUAGUGUGAGACAAUUAUGCAGUUUUGCCAACCACCAUAGAGAGAUAAUAUAACACAAAUUAAGUACAAAAUAAGUCACUUGGCAAGCAGAUGAAAUUAGCUUAGAAGAUCCAAAUAAAAAGGGGCUGAAAAAAUUGAAUAAAACUUGUUUCAAAGAACUGAAAAAAAUUAAUUAAAAACUGAUCAAAAUUAGAGGAAUUGACAACUGCCCGUAACCAUCACUAGCCUUCCUAGUGGCUGAUAGAAUUAAGUUUUGUUCCUGGCGACCAAGUAUGUUUACUACAUAGUAUAUGAAAUAAUGAAAAUCAACAUCUCAUCUUUUUGUCUCUUCACCAAAAGCAGGCAUCUUAUAGGGCUGGCAAACGAGCGAGCCGGCUCGCGUUCGACUCGUGUUCGGCUCGAUAUUCAGCUCGCUCGAGCUCGACUCGAAAUUAAAUGAGCCGAGCUUGAACAAAAUAAAAGGCUUGAAAUUCAUUUCAAGCCGAGCUUGAGUAUUACUCGGCUCGUUCGAAUUAAGCUCGAAAAGCUCGAAAAGCUCGAAAUAUAUAUAUAUAUAUAUAUAGAGUCCGGCUACUAUACUAUCGAUAGUACCAAGCCCUUGGUACUAUUGAGUUUUCUACCGUUAGAUCUACCCUUUGAUCAUUUCCACCCGUUAGAUUAUACUAUUAAACCAACCACCCACUCAACCCUAGAGGACCACUAUCAAUUUAACCGGGGACCACUAUCAUCAUAAUCGCAAAUCUAUUCAUCCAACGGCCAAAAACUCAAUAGUACCAAAGACUUGGUACUAUUGAUAGUAUAGUAGCAUAAUUCUAUAUAUAUAUAUAUAUAUAUAUAUAUAAUAUAUAUAUAUAUAUAAUAUAUAUAUAAUGUAUUUAAUUAUAUAUAGAUUUUAAUUUAAUUUGGACCAUUAUUGUUGCGCCCAUAAAAUAAACCCAACAAGUACAACCGUGCAAUUGAGUCCAAUUCUAAAUUUACAUAACACGCUCUCUCUUUCAGACUUUCACUAUUGUACAUAACACUAAAAUAUGAUAACAUUCAAAUUUCCAAAUCUCUAAUUCCCCCCUCCCCCCCUCUCUCUCUCUCUCUCUCUCUCUCUCUCUCUCAGGCCUUCAUCCAGUCAGGCAGUCACCCUAGCUCACAUUUCUUGCAAUUAUUUUAUAUUUUGAACUAUUGGACAUAUUGCAUCAAAUUGUAGGUAAUGUUCUAUAAAAAUUAAACCAUUGAUUAUAUAAUGUCGAGAAUUUCAAUCGGCUCGUUUAGAGCUCGAGCUCGGCUCGACUCGAAAUUAGGCUCGCUCGAGCUCGGCUCGAAUUAAUUUCAAGCCGAGCUUGAGCCUAGAUUUAGGCUCGAAAUUAAUUUCAAGCCGAAUUUGAGCUGACAUAAGCUCGCUCGAGCUCGGCUCGUUUCCACCCCUAGCAUCUUAUGGAGCUAGGGUUUUAUACUUUUGAAAGUACGAAGGCCUUCAUAUUUAUAAAUUAUUUUUGAUGAUGGGACAUCUGAUUCGGUGAUUGGUUUCAUUAAAUAUAAUCUAUGUUAUCGGAACUAUCUGGAAACCAAAUUUUAUAAUUUUUUGAUUUUAUUCGCUUAGUGAACGAGUAGUCUCAAAAUAAACGGUUGAAAAAAAAAAAUUCUUAUAAAAAACAGUGAUAGAAGACUAAAAUUUCAAAUCAGUAGUAUUGAUCUUACUAUUGAUGUUAAGUAGAAUUUUUUAUUAAAAUUUUAUGUAAUUUGGAUUGUUCGAUACUGUUGAACUUAAAAACGUGCCAUAUCCGAUCGUCAAAAUAGUCAUUUUUGAAACCUCUUUAUCACUUGAUAAAUGAUGUCGAAAAAUUAUAAAAUUUGAUUUCUGGAAUUAUUUCUAGAUAAUUCCAAUAGUGUAGAUUAUAUAUAAUGGAGCCGAUCGUCUAAUCGAAUAUUCUAUAUAUCAUCGAAAACAACUUAUAAAUGAUCUUUGUACUUUCGAAAGUACAGAAAACAUACUAUAUAUAUAUAUAUAUAUAUAUAUAUAUAUAUAUAUAUAUAUGACAAUAUAAUGUACGUACGGAAGCAAAAGGUGACUAAUCUGAAACAAUUAUCAACGUGCUAUCCUCUCUGCGACCACGACAAACGAAUGACGAGCCAAUUAAGUGUAAGGAAAGAGAGAGAAGUGCAAAUUAUUUAUUUAAUUUAGACGAAUAAUAAUGUGUUAUAGAAGAUGCAUUAGAAUAAGUCGUUCUUACGUAGGGCGGUAGUUGUUAUAUAUUCUCGACGGGGAUAAGAACGGGGUGGCCGAGAGGAUGAACGGACGCUUCACUGAGACGACGACAAUGGGGGUGAAAUGGUUCUGCUUAGUUCUUCUUCUUGGCUUAUCGACGCUAACUAGCAUUCGAGUCAAUGGCCAAGCUGAUAAUCUUGGUACGUUAUUGUUCUAACCAAAUCCCCCCACCUUUUUUUUUUCCCGUGUUUCCUUUUUUAAUUUUUAAUUUUUUGUUCUUGUUAUGUGGCUAAAUAUUGUGCUAAGAAUGGGGUAUUAAUUACUCAUUGCUACUAACAAUGAAUGAUCACGUUGAAUGCUAAGAAACUGAUCUGAUAACGUAAUUUAGUUUCAUCUUUAAUUUUUUAGCUUUAUUUACGACCAACAAGUUUCUUUGAGGUGAUCUUUGUUUGGAGUUGUAUUCUGGUUAUGGCUGGGCGAUCUUGGUCUCCGUACUUUCCGAUUCGUCGAGUUUGGUGCUUUUAUGCGACCGCUGAGUAACGUUACACGACUAUAAUUUAAGAGUCUAUUGAUUCUUCAAACAAAAGCGCAAACAAUUCAACCAGUUCGAAAAAAUUGAUACAAACUUUUGAGCCGCAAAGAAAGAAACUAUAAGUUGCUUUGAAACUUUUUCUUGGAGCUAAAUAUGAAAUCGUUCGGAUCAUUUGAUUAAAACGUUGUUAGACUUUUGUAAACAACUGAAAAGAUCAUUUUAUAAAAAUAUCAUCUAAGCUAAACAAACACAUAACUUCAAUUCUACCGAAUAGAUUCCUAGGUCCACUAAUCCAUGUAUGAAAAUAGUGGUGCUAGCCCAUUAAAUUUGAUUUGUAAUUAAUAAAACAGUUAACUAAAUUUGGUAAAUUUUAGAUAUGAUCACAAACAUAUAUAUAUAUAUAUAUAUAUGACUAAAGAAAUUGUCUACGGAAUAGGAGUGCUAAUGAAUUAGACAAGUCAUGUAACAUGCCAGCAAAAAUAAUUUUUAAUAAAUCAAUUAAGAUAAGAUUAAUAUAAACAAACAGAGAAUGCAUAGUUGACCAAGUUGGCAUUGUUAAUUUCGAAAAUUCCUUUAGCUUGGGCUAAGUCAUUGGUGGUUCCAGUGCAAAGUCAACCAUGGCUUACGGCCUAGUUGAAGAGCAAUUCUUAAGUUCCAUCUUUGGCCCAAGCCCAUCUAAGUUCUAAGCUUAUAAUUGUUUUUGAUUGUAAGAGGUAAGAUGAUUUCUUUGCAAUUUGUUAAAUGGAAAUAAGAUUUGCAGAAAUGGAGCCGUCUAGAUUAAGGGGUUGUUUGGUUGCACGUAUAUAGCUGCAACUGUAUUACAGUUGAAUUCAAGUGCUACAGGUUGAAACUGUAUGAGAAGACUCAGCUGCUAUAGUUAGAAUUAUAUUCAAAUUGGUUGUAAUCCCAACUACGAAAAAAUAGUUUUUAAAUUGAAAAUAAGCUUACAUUUUUAAUAACUUUUUGAGCAGAAAAUUAUUAUUUUUUCUACAUAAAGGAUAAUAUCUCUACUCUAUAUAUUAAGUGAUAAAAUACUAUAAAAACGCUUCUAAUUAAUAUACAACUAAACAGAUUAUUUAUAAUUAUAGUAUUUUUUUAUUAAUUAUAAUUAUUAUAAUUCUAACCGUAUAUAUUUCAAAUUAUACUGUAUUUAUAAUUAUAUCAAAUCAAACACUCUUAAAACUAUAGCCUUGUUACGUACCGUUGCCAUUUUUUCAAUUAGAAAAUUCUUUGUCGUCUAUAAAUUUUGUAGACUAUUUAAUUUAUUAGCAUACCAAACUGCUCUCCAUAGCAAUGAAAAAUAGAAACUUUUAAUUUGAUUAGUUUGAUUUGAACUACGCAAUCAAAUUGUUUGCCCCUGAAUAAUUCCGAAAUUUGGCGGGACCAUAUUUUGAAUCUGAAAAUCUCUUUCCACUCUCCCAGGUUUCAUAAGCAUAGAUUGCGGCCUCCCCGAAAACUCGAGCUAUGUCGACAGCGUCACGACGAUACCCUACACCUCCGACAAGCAAUUCAUCGACACCGGUGAGAACCACAACAUAUCGGCGGAGUACAUAACCCCCACGCUCUCGAAGCGCUACCUCAACGUCCGGAGCUUUCCGACCGGCGCGCGAAACUGCUACGCUUUGAACUCGCUGCUGGCGGGGGCGAAAUAUCUCGUCCGCGCGACGUUCAAGUAUGCAAACUACGACGGCCUGAAUAAGCUCCCGAUAUUCGAUCUCCACAUCGGUGUCAAUUUCUGGCAGACGAUUAAUGUUAGCGACGCCGACACCGCGUAUCUGGCUGAGGUCAUUACCGUUGCUCCGGCGAACUACCUGCGAGUUUGUCUCAUAAACACGGGACUGGGGACUCCGUUCAUUUCCGGGCUCGACAUGAGGCCUUUGAAGCCGAUUCUUUAUCCGGCGGCGAAUGCGACGCAGUCGAUCGUCCUUUAUGCGCGGCUCAACGCCGGCCCGACUGACAACACUGUAAUAAGGUGAGAGAAAACGCCACCAGUAUAUCUACCACGGGGCAAUUUCACCACUACCCCUCUUAAAUAUCUAAAUAUCGUAAAUACCCCUAUAAAAUUAAAAAUAUCAUAUAUACCCCUUUAAAUGUAGAAAAUUAUCACAAAUACCCUUUUUUCUAACGGAUGUUAAGAUUAGGUUAUAAAAUGACUAAUUUAACCUUGGUUGCGGUGUUCUUUUGACAACAACUAAUAAAGAAAUAAUUUUAUAAAUACCCUUCAAAUUUUAAAAAUAAUAUUUUUAGUACUAAUUAUUGGUAGAUAAAAUAUGUGGAAACAUCAUCUAACCCCACAUCUCUUAAAUCCAAUGGACACAAAUCUACAAUCACCAAUAAUUUGAUACUUUUAAAAAUAUAGAAGCUCAAUUAAUUAUAUAUAUAUAUAUAUAUAUAUAUAUAUUAUUCAAAGCUAGGGCCAUGCCAAAGUGAACUAAUGGGUGAGCGGAUUUUCAUACAAUGUUAUUUUUUUGUUGACAAUAAAUGUGCAAUUAAAAAAUUAUUGCUUGAUUGGGUCAUAUGAAAAAUACUAAUAUCAAAAAAAUUUUAUAUCAAAAUAUUUUUUGUAUGACUUAUGUGAGUUAUUUAAAUAAAAUUCAAAAAAAUUAAAUCUUGAAAUUAAUCUUGAAAUUACAACUAUAUAUAAUUUACAAGCGAAAAAUUAUAACAAGAUUUAAUUAUUACACUUAAUAGACUAUAGAUAUUUAAUUGUAAAAUUUUAAAAAGAAUGUUGAAUUAUUAUGUGAUUGAAAGGCUAAGAAUUGAUCUUGAUCAUGUAAUUAAUCUUAAAUUAUUACACUUAGUUAAAUUAGUAAUUAAUAAGGGUAAAAUGGGUAUUUAUAGAAUAUUAGAUGACUUUUUAACGGAAUGUUAAUCUUAAGGGUAUUUGUGAAUAUUUUUGUUUUAUAGAGGAGUAUGGCUGAUAUUUUGUAAUUUAUAGGGGCAUUUAUGAAAUUCCUAUCUCUUAGAAGGGUAUUGAUGAAAUUAUCCCAUCUACGUAUUAGUUUAAACCUUAAUAUUCAUGAUUUGAUAGGAUAGUACAUUUUAUUUAUGAGGUAAUUAAUCUUAUGUGAAAAGAUAAUUAGUUUGAAUGCCGAGUCUAAUAUUCAAUUUUAAACAUUUCAUCACACUCUUUAAAAAGUAUAUGUAUAAAUUUUUAAGUAAAUUUUUAAAAAACUUACCGAACCAAAUAUUCAUGCAUAAAAAAAAGAUCUUAGGGAUUUAGUAAGAUUAAAAAAAGUCGAAAAAAUAAGAAAAAAAAGAAUAGAGGCUUUAGAUUUUAGAAUGGAUAGAAUGUAAAUUUUAUACCUAGUCUAGAAAUGAACUAUUAGCAUUGCUCUAAGAUUAGGAUAUUUUUAGAAAUAAGAUAAAAAUUUUUAAAAUUAAAAUUAGUGAUUUUAUUUUGAGUUUAUCAAAACUUUGAAUUUCAACCCGAGGGUGCAAAUGAUGAGAUAUCUAAAGCGGUGGAAAAUCAGCUUUCUUUAUUACUAUAAGAUUGUUAUAUAUACACAUUGAAAAAAUAAGUAUAAAUUUUACAUCUUAUUCUGCUACGGGCUAAUAUUUUUAUACUAAUUUUAUUAAAUUUUUUAAUACAAUUUUUUUUAAAAAAAAUAUUUCAAUGUUGACAAGCAAGUAUAAGAUUUAUAGUCAAAUUCUGGGUACAUUAAGAAUUUCUCUCUACUCUACAUUCUCCCCUUCCUUCCUAUCUCUCUCCUGGCUUUACACUCUAACAAUUUGGUGCGCAACCGGCCGUCCCUAAAGCAAGUGGCAAAAGGCUUGAUGCUUGGUACUCGAGGCCCAACUUCGAAUCCUAAUUGAUUCAUAUUUCUUAAUGAAAUAAACAAAAUGGAUAGCAUGUUAUUUAUCUUUCAAAAAAAAAAAAAAUUUGUGAGCGCUAUUUUUAGCGCAAGUGACAAAUAAUUUAAUAGUUUGUAUUCCCAAGUUGCAAGUUCCAAGUAGGGCUCGACGGUUCUCGAGUUUCAAAUUUGAUAUAUAGUAAGAAAUACUAUAUUUUCUCUCUCAAAACACACACACAAAAAAAAAAAAAAGAAUUAAAAAAAAUGAAAAAACAAUUUAGCGAACACCUGGCGUGCAGGUACCCGAACGACAGCCACGACCGGGUAUGGCAGCCGUGGAGCAACGAGCCCUACUGGGCAGAGAUCUCGACGGCGUCGCUCGUGCAGAACGUCAACAACGACCACUUCGAGGCGCCCUCCGCGGUGAUGCAGACGGCCGUCGUCCCCGUCAACGGCUCCAAGAUCGACUUCUCCUGGACGCCCGACAGCAGCGGCGACAACAAGAAGCCCAACCCCGGCUACCUCGCCGUCAUGCACUUCUCCGAGAUCCAGACCCUCCCCCCCGGCGCCGUCCGCGAGUUCGACAUCACCAUCAACGACAAGCCCUGGUACGGGCCCUUCACCCCCGAGUUCCUCUACUCCGACGCCGUCUACAGCACCAGCCCCGGAUACGGCAAUCGCCAGUACAACGUCUCCAUCGUCGCCACCGCCAACUCCACCCUCCCCCCGCUGCUCAACGCGCUCGAGAUCUUCACCGCCCUGCCCGUCCCGCUACUCGGCACCGACGCCGGCGACGGUAAGUGCCACCUUCUGCUUCUGCUUCUGCUUCUGGUUUCAGCCGCAGCUAUAUACACGUGAUGAUAUGAUAAAUAGCUGAUGACACCUACUUAAUGGGUCGGUAUGUUUGAACCAAGGAUUUCUAAGUGCUCAUCGGCACGGACCGUAUUUAUUAUCGUGCCAACAAGACGUAUCGAUACGAUAUAAUUUCCGUAUCGAUUACAUAGAUCAAAAUCGGUUAUUUUUUAAAUUAGUAAAUUAUUUUUUUAAUAAAAUUUAAAAGAUAAAAAUACGUAAUAAAAAGUCAGAAUAUUUUAUUGCUAAGGACACUAAAUAUUCAUACCAUUAUGUGUUGUCUCACACACAUAUAUAUAUAUAUGAAGAGAGAGAGAGAGAGAGUAGGUCUUGUGUGCUAUUAGGAGCACGGAGGCAUCCGUGCUCCUAAAUCGUUUGCAAUAAUAGGACUUUCGAAUCAACGAUCGGCUUUGGUAGACUUAAUCUAACGUAUUUGAAGUAUCUAAAAAAUAAAUUUUACGGUUUUUCGAUAUCAUUUAUCUAACAAUCGAAAGGAUUUAAAAUUAAUAAAUUUUAAUGGCUGAUGUAUAUCCUUUACAAGUUUAACGGUGUAGAAGUAUUCACAUCAGAUGAAAUUUUGAUAGAAAAUUUUUUGUACUAUUUACUGUAAGAUCAAUAUCUAUGAUAAAAAAUUUUAUUGCUACAUCACCAUUUUUUGUAAAAUUUUUAUUUUUAGUCGUUGAUACUGAACACUUUUGAUCGCUAUGUAAAUGAUAUCGAAAAAUUGCAAAAUUUAUUUUCUAGAUACUUCAAAUACUUCAAAUCUAACGAAGCCGAUCGUCAAUUCGAAAACUCCAUCAUCGAAAAUGGCUUAGGAGCACGGAGCCCUUUAUGCUCCUAAUAGCACACAAGAUCUACUCUCUCUCUCUCUAUACAUAUAUGUAUUUGGAUACAAUUCAUGCCACGAUACUUAAAUCAUUGGUCUGAAUUCAUGUUUUCGUAAAUUUUAAUUUUUCCUUCGCCUUGCUACAUUGAAUCCUUCUCUCUUUUAUUUUGCAUUGACCAUAUCCUGUUUGUAUUCGCUAAUAUGUUCCUCACCUCGAUCUUAUCAACGACAUCACAGUAAGUGCUAUCGCGGCAAUCAAGGCACAGUAUCAGGUGAAGAGAAAUUGGAUGGGAGAUCCGUGUGCUCCCAAAGCUUAUGCCUGGGAUGGGUUGAACUGUAGUUACUCUCUCUCUAGCCCUCCAACAAUUACAUCUAUGUGAGUUUCACAAGAUAGCAUGUCAUAGUAAUUUAUCUCAUUCUCUUUUAGUGUGAAACUGCAAAUAUGAGUGUAUUACAACUUUUCUUGCAGAAAUUUAUCAUCCAGUGGAUUGACUGGUGUCAUAACGACGUCUUUCGCCUAUCUGAAAUCUCUGCAAUCUUUGUAAGUCUCAUACUAGGCCCCCCAAAAAAUAGAGGACAUUGACUACCGAUCGCACCUGUAACCGAAUAUGUAGAACAUUCACCUAUAUAUGCAUAUUUAGAUGUUUAUUAAUGUAUUGCGAAAAACAAUUCUAUGGUAUUGUGUUUUUUCACGAGACUUGUUGUUUCAGGGAUUUGUCGUACAAUAACUUAACUGGAUCGAUGCCUGAUGUUCUAUCCCAAUUACCGUCACUAACACUAUUGUAAGUACUCUUACUAGACUCUCUUUUUGGUCAACGACCAUGUAAGUAGAUUUGUGGCAUCAACAGUACUUGUGGCUUCUUGCAGGGAUUUGCGAGGCAACCAACUCAACGGAUCAAUCCCUCCCGGUCUCUCUAAGAGAUCACAAGAUGGGACACUUACAUUAAGGUUUUCUUAAACCAUAUCUAUAUAUUCCUUUAAACUAUGCUAUUUCUAUGCCUUGUGACUGAGGCCUAUCUUUUUGAGAUCAACCUGUUCUAGGAUAAAUUCUCUAGUUUUAUCCAACCAGUGCUAUUGUUUAAUACUAUGCAAUUUUGUAGGAUCUCCAACCUUUUGUUGUACAGAUCUUAGAUGUUGUUGGUCAAAUCCAUGGUUUACAUUUACAGCUUUCAUGCUUCAAGUUCACUUACUGUGUUAAAUCUUUGUUUCAGAGUCUUUUUGCUAAGAACUAACUACUCUUUCUAUGUUUUCUUUAGAUUCCUUAUGGGAUUAAGGGCAUCUCCCAAUGUUUCAGCGAUGAAUUAUUACUUGAUUCUCGCUUAUUUUUGAUCUUCUGAACAUAUAUCAGUUGACAUCUAACUGUGAAAUGGUCAUUUCUUUUGCAAUGAUAGAGUUGAUCAAUGUGCCAAUGGGAAUUCUUGUGCACCAUCGCGACCAAAGAAGAUAUCUCCUAUUGUUGUGGUUGUUCCGAUUGUUGUGGUGGUGCUAAUUGUAGCUGUGAUACUUAUUAUAUGCCUAAGGAAGAAAAAACCAGGUAAAAAUUCAGCAGCAAAAGACCUCUUUUUGUAUAUAAUUGUUGCGUCUUUUAUUGUGUGUGCAAAUGAAAUAUCGUAUCUCAUAUUAGCUUGCUUCCUUUGAAAGGCUCGGAGACAAACCCCUCCGUGAGGCCACAGAAUGAAAGGUACUCUAGUAACAUAGAAAACAAACAAGACAGUCCGUUGCAACUUGAGAAUCGACAGUUCACGUACAAGGAGUUAGAGCUUAUAACGAGCAACUUUUCACGCAUUCUUGGGAAAGGAGGAUUUGGGACAGUGUACAAGGGCAUCUUGGAGAAUGGUACUCCAGUUGCGGUGAAGAUGCGUUCUCACUCAGCUUCACAAGGAGUCAAAGAGUUUUUGGCUGAGGUAAUUAACUCCAAUCCAGUCUUUUUCUCUUUUUUUUUCUUUUUAUUAUCCUCAGAUCUUGUUGCUACAUUUUUGUCAUUAACGUAAUUGGAUGGUUGCAUAAUAAGGGUUCCCCAGUGAGUCCCUUAGAUGCUGCAACACACUAUGUGAAAAUUAGGAUAAAUGACUUUGCUAGAUUGUGGAGCUUUCUAGCUAUUAUUCUAGCAUAAGUGACUCAGAUAUUGGUUUGGGACGAAGAGUGCACACACCCCUGCUCGCAUUACAUCACGAAGUUUAUAGCCCCAACUUCUGAAUGUUCUUCCUAAGAUUUAUCUGAUACACAACAAUAUUCUGAAUGUCGUUGCAGGCCCAGCACCUGACAAGGGUCCAUCACAAGAACUUGGUUUCAAUGAUCGGAUACUGCAGGGAUGGAGAUCAGUUGGCACUUGUCUAUGAGUUCAUGUCCGAAGGAACUCUAGAAAAACAUCUGAAAGGUUCUAUUUUUUUUUUUUUUAAGUUACAAAAUGAUGAGUAUAUAAGACAUGCUUCUGAGUUGGCUCCCCAUGUGGCUUAAUUAUUGCUAGCUCAGUAUUCUUCGUAAGUAUACUUCAGUGGCAAUGGAGUGGUAGAAUUUAAUAGUAAGGCCUUGUUCCCUUCAUCCAAAAGACAAGGUUCUAAGAGAGACUUUGAUUAUUUGCUCUUCCUUUUCACGAGAAAAAUGACUUUAGGUAUUCUUGAUAGUUUUAGCGAAAAGGUUUCGAAUUUGGAAACUUUUAAGUUGGAGACAUUAUUAUGUUUUGGAACUUACCUUGAUUCCAUGUUAAUCUUUUUUGAUUUAUCUUAUUGGAUAUCUCCAACACAACCUAGUAAAGAAAACCUUAAGCGAUCCUUCAUAGCUCGCGCACAACUUUAAAAUUGAGCAUCUUGAAUCUGAUAUUACUAGGCAAAAAUGCUCCAUCUGUGGGAAAGGUUAGAUCUGAUGAAAUGUUAUGCCAAGAUUCGGCCGAGAAUGCCCAUGUUUUAUAUUCUGUAUUAUUUGGGGAAAAAUACUAUAAUCAGUAUUCGUUAUUUUCUAUUGAUGAAAUUAAUGAUAUGCUGUGAUUCUUCUUGCAGGCAAAGCUAAUGCUAGACCUUUGAAUUGGAGGCAGCGGGUCCAAAUAGCAUACGAAUCUGCACAAGGUUUGGCAAUAACUUAUUGCAUGUAACAUGCUAUUGCUUCUUUCUUUCUCAUCAACCAUUCUAUUGCAGGGCUACAGUAUCUUCACAAGUCUUGCAACCCUCCACUAAUUCAUAGAGAUGUUAAGACGAACAACAUUCUCUUGAAUUCAAAUCUAGAGGCCAAGCUUGCUGAUUUUGGGUUGUCUAAGGCCUUCAAUAGCGGCGUCAACACUCACGUGUCCACAGCUGUUGCCGGAACUCCGGGAUAUCUUGAUCCUGAGUAAGUCACUCUCUCUUCAUCUUGGCGCUCUUUUUCUUAUUCGAUUUCUGUAAAUACAAUGGAGUAUUGAUCGUACAGAUUAAGUAAAAUAAACAUGGAAUGCUGGCUUUGUUUGCCUACAACAAAAGAGAAAUAUAGUUCUGCAGUAGGAAUAUGCACCACAAGCAUAAUGUCAACUGACCGAGCCUUUUGCUUUGCCACAAGGGCUACAGCUCCUACUUUUCAAUCAGAUUCUUGCAUUUUAAUGCUAUGAAUAGUACUAAACAGAUAAUAAUAUUACGUGUAGGUACUAUACAACCCUCCAGCUCAGUGAGAAAAGCGACGUGUAUAGCUUUGGAAUUGUCCUAUUGGAAAUAGUAACAGGGCAACCUGCCAUAUUGACCACCACAGAGAGCAUUCACAUAGUUCAGUGGGUGCGGCAGAGGCUCGCAAGAGGAAACAUCGAGAGCGUAGCCGAUCCGAGGAUGAGAGGAGAAUACGACAUAAAUUCUGUUUGGAAAGCUGCUGAUCUUGCUUUGAAAUGUACUGAACAAUCCUCCAUUCAGAGGCCAACCAUGACCGACGUCGUGAUGCAGUUAAAUGAAUGCUUGGAGCUCGAGGAUGCCGGUGAAAGAAACCAUACUAAGCGGAACUCGAGGGGGGAUUACUUCUACUCGGAGACCAGUGAUAGCCAGAUCAGUACAUUCGAGAUGGAAUAUAUGCCGCAGUUGCCGGUAGGCCCUGGUCCAGUGGCAAGAUAAGAUUCGAGCAAUUCUCUCUUCCUGUAAUUGCUCAUGUUGUUUUCUUCGUAGUUCAUUCACAAAGUCUAUAUAUAGAUGAGCUUGUCAUGUUUGGACUUGACUUCAUCGUUGAGUGUGGUGAUGUUUGAUGAGUGACAAAACUAUGCAUUCUCUUGAGAAGAGUCUUCCAAGCUGGCGCAGAAAUGAUUUUAUCUGCUCUUGGUUCUUGUAAAAUAAAUGUAUCAGUGACUUGAAUAGUAAUUUGCAUAGCAUAAUUAUAAAUUUGAGUUAAAUUAUAACACUAAUCCCUUCCUCUCAAGAUUGUGUUGGAUCCUCGUUAGGAGUCCUGUGAGCUAUGGUAUGAGACUACGGUAUCAUCGAUUGUAACCAAACACGCUGUGAACUCCUAUGAAUUUGGUAUCUUGUAUGUCGUCUGUAAAGCGCUGCUGAUGUGCUGACAAGACCGUGCAAUGCGCCGUGUAGCUUCUUAGAGGAUGUUUGAGGGUAAAUCCGUGCAAAAAACAGUGGGGUUCUCGCUUUUAAGACGUCAACACGUUAUGUAAUCCAGGUUGACUUUUAUCGUGUCAACCCCUCAACACUUUUUUCUAUCAUUAUACCUGAGCAAAUAAUACCAAUUGGGACCCACAUAUCGGAGGUGCAUGCUGCUAUUCGGGAACCACACCUACGUGCUAUCCUCUCGUUCUCUAUGUACAUUGAACAGUUGUGAACGUUGAACAGUUGUGAACGAUUAACAAUAAUAAAGAGAUGGGGGAGGAGAGCAUAUCGAUUGGAACGAAUAACAUGUAAGAAAAAGUUGUCCCCUACGUUAGUUAUUCGCGAGGAGCAUGAGAGGUGGACUAUUUAUAUAGUUGCAAAAAACGGAAAGCUUCAAUGCGACGAAAAAUGGCGGUUUUAUGGGGCUUGAUUCUUCUUCUCGGCUUAUCGGCCUUCGGUGUUCGAGUUCACAGCCAACCCGAUAGUCUUGGUAUGUAUAUAUAUACAUAUAUCGAGCAAUAAAAAACGCGUCUGAAUCAAGUGAAGGGCGUGCUAACUAAAUAACUAUAUUAUUUACUUCAAAUUAUAAUUAGUAUAAUGUACAAAAAAAAAAAAGCCAUCGAAACUAUAUAUCCUUUUCUCUUCUUGCAGGUUUCAUCAGCAUCGAUUGCGGCAUCCCGGAAAACUCGAAGUACGUCGACGCCGUCACGACGCUGACGUACACCUCCGACAACCAAUUCAUCGACACCGGCACGAACCGCAACAUCUCGGCCGGGUACGUAACCCCGUCGCUCGCGAGGCGCUACCUCACCGUCCGGAGCUUUACGACUGGCCGGCGGAACUGCUACACCAUGAACUCCCUGAUGGCAGGGCAGAAAUAUCUCGUGCGCGCGAUGUUCCUGUACGCGAACUACGACGGACUGAAUAAGCCCCCAGUAUUCGACGUCCACGUCGGCGUGAACUUUCUGCAGACGAUCAAUAUCUCCGACGCGGGGUCCCCGGAGGUUGCGGAGGUUAUUAUGGUCGUGCCGGCGAGUUACCUGCAGGUGUGUCUGGUAGACACUGGAGAGGGGACGCCGUUCAUAUCCAGCUUGGAAGUUAGGCCGUUAAAGGCGGUUCUGUACCCCGCCGUGAACGGCACGCAGGCGCUUGUCCUUUAUCGGCGAAUUAAUGUGGGCCCUACCGACACGACACGGAUAAGGUGAUCAUGAUCGAGUUAGACUUAGUAUUUCUCUUACUCUCAGUACGAACCAGAGGAGAGACCUGAGUUUUGAAAAAAAAUUAAAAGUAUAUAUAAACUAAUUAAAAUUUAAAAAUUUAAAAUUUUGAGUCUCGAUCAUCAAAUUCUUAACGAUGUGAUGCAGCCUUGCAGGUACCCGAACGACACGCACGACCGGAUAUGGGUGCCGGGGAGCAACUUCCCCGACUGGUCGGAGAUCUUCACGCCGCUCCCCGUCCGCAGCCUCGCCGGCGACCGCUUCGAGGCGCCCUCCGCCGUCCUGCAGUCCGCCGCCGUCCCCGCCGGCGCCGCCACGAAGCUCGAGUUCUUCUGGUCGUCGGCCGCCGACCCCGACGACCCCGACAACAACGCCGCCUACGUCGCCGUCCUGCACUUCGCCGAGAUCCAGGCCCUCCCCCCGCGCGCCGCCCGCGAGUUCAACAUCUACCUCAACGGCGAGCUCUGGUACGGGCCCUUCUCCCCCGCGUACCUCUCCUCCGACUACGUCUACAGCGCCAACCCCAGCUCGGGGUACCCGCACUACAACUUCACCAUCGUCGCCACGGCCGCGUCGAAGCUCCCGCCGAUCCUCAACGCGCUCGAGGUGCUCCAGGUGCUGCAGAUGCCCGGCCUCGCCACGGACGGCGACGACGGUACGGCCCGUAUGUGGCAUUUGUUCAAACAACUUGCUUGCCUUGUAGAAUGCAAUUUUGAAAUGGCUGUACUGGAUCUUUGAAAACUCUGGUCAGUUACUGCCAUCGCGGCAAUCAAGACGCAGUAUCAGGUGAAGAGAUACUGGAUGGGCGAUCCGUGCGCUCCCAAAGCUUACUCAUGGGACGGGUUGAGUUGUAGUUAUUCUCCCUCUAAUCCUCCAAGGAUUACGGCUCUGUAAGUUUUGCGAGAUAGCAUUUCACGCUGUUCUUGCGAUGAAAGUGAGAUAACAAAUACUUUGAAUGUUAUCUGCAGAAACCUAUCAUCCGGCGGAUUGACGGGCAACGUAACGACUUCUUUUGCCAAGCUUACAACUCUCCAAUCCUUGUUAGUUCCAUCAACCUCGUCCUAUCUUUAUUCUCUUAGAUCCAAAAAAAAAAAAAAAAUCGGGCUUUGAUUAUGUUUUACACCUAUUUGUCAUUCGGUUCAGGGAUUUGUCGCACAAUAACUUAACAGGAUUGGUUCCUGAUGUUCUAGCACAAUUGCCAUUACUAACUUUUCUGUAAGUACUCUUGAUAUGCUUUUGAUCCGGUUGCAACUAUGCAGUAGAUUUGUGGUGUCAGCGAUAAUCGGCUUCUUGCAGGGAUUUGACAGGCAACCAACUCAACGGAUCAAUUCCUGCUAAUCUCCUUAAGAAAUCGCAAGAUGGGUCACUUACAUUAAGGUUUUCCUUUAGACCAAUCUUUUCCUUCAUGACUUUGUGCAAGAAAAAUGACUGAUACAGAGAUAAAAAAUAAAAUCGAUAUCUUUUAUGGUUGCUGACUUUUAUGUGAUGAAUACGAGAUUAGUUUUAGUACGGGCAAUAAGGACUCCUGAAACUUAUUUCAUAUAUGAAAAUUUAUUAAUUUACAUUUUGGUUUUACGGCCUUCAUUCUUCAAUUUCAUUUUAUCCAGAAAACUCUUUUGUAUUCCGAGGAUUUGCAGUCAUAUAUGACUAAUCACGGGGUGAAGAAAGUAUGUCAAUGUUUAUGUUUCACCGAUGAAUUAUAAGUUGACUACUGUUUGAAUUUUCUGAGCUUACACCGGCAGAGAUCUGAUUGUGAAAAGUUCCGCUUCUUCUUUCUGUAAAAAUAGAUUUGGAGAAAAUGUAAAUAUCUGUGCCGAUGGGAGUUCGUGUGCACAUGUCUGUGCCAACGAGACUUUAUGUGGGCCGCUGCUGUCUCCACUGCCGCCGCCAAUCAAGAAGAGUUCCAUAGCCCCUGUAAUUGUCAUUAUUCCGAUAGUUGUAGUGGUGCUACUUGUAGUUGUUAUACUUGUUCUGUGCAGAAUGAGAAAACGACCUGGUAACUUUCAGCGACAAAUACUUCUUUUCUUUUUCCUAUUUCAAAUUUGCAUCUUUUCUUCAAAAUAAUGAAUGAGCACCAGCUAUUUACACGCACUUAUGCGUCUAUUCUUUGAAAGGCUUACAUACAAAUCCCUCUACUGUGAGGCCACAGCAUGAAAGUUACUCAAGAGAAGUAAGAGAUCAAGAAAACAGUUCAUUGCAGCUAGAGAAUAGACAAUUCACGUACAAUGAAUUAGAACUUCUAACAAACAACUUUUCACGUGAACUUGGCAAAGGAGGAUUUGGAAGUGUCUAUGAGGGCAUCCUGGAGAAUGGUACUCCAGUUGCAGUCAAGAUGCGUUCUCACUCAUCUAAACAAGGGGUUAAAGAGUUCCUGGCCGAGGUAGUCAACUCUGAUCCACUCGUUUCUUUUUGCUCAAAUUCUUUUUUAGCAAACUAAGUGCAAUAUCGCACUUUGUUAUUUCAUGUUUCUCACUACUUAGUUAAAGGUUCUUCUCAAAUGGAGUAUAUUUUUCUGGAAAUACUAAAGCAGUAACCAAUAUUAAUGGAAAGUAAAUUUCGGAUUUCCGCAUCACAUAUCAAAAUAUUUAAGCCUUGUCUCCCUCCACAUCGAAUCCACUAGAGUCUGUAAUUCAAUGCAUACGUCUCAUACUGCGAAAAGAUAUUAGUUCAAAUUUAAUCCCACCUUGAAGUAAUGUUCUUCUUGAGGGUUUAUCUAAGAAGUGAUACUUGACAACAUUCUCGAUGUUGUUGCAGGCCCAGCACCUGACAAGGGUGCAUCACAAGAACUUGGUCUCCAUGAUUGGAUACUGCAAGGAUGGAGAUUACUUGGCACUCGUCUACGAGUUUAUGUCUGAAGGAACCCUAGAAAAACAUCUGAAAGGUUCCAAACCUUUUAAUUAUUAAGUACUAUUUGCUUUGUUAUGAAUCGAUUGUUGGUAAUUUGAAGUCCUCCUGCAGAAUGUUCUUUAAUGGAAAGUAAAGCAUGAUAUUAUGUUUUCAACUGACAUCAUUUUGCAGAGUUUUAUAAAAAUCUUUCUUUUUUAUGUAAUUAAUGGGUUUUUGCUGAUGGUCUCUUACAGGCAAAGCGUAUACUCGACCUUUGACUUGGAAACAACGGCUCCGAAUUUCACUUGAAGCUGCACAAGGUUUGGAAGUAAUUCAGUUGUUGCACAAAUGUCCCUCCGUUUGCUUCUCUUCUUAUGAGAUUUCUCUGCAAUAAUAUGUAGGGCUAGAGUAUCUGCACAAGGGAUGCAAACCACCGCUUAUUCACAGAGACGUGAAGACCAACAACAUCCUCUUGAAUGCGAAUCUUGAGGCGAAGGUUGCUGAUUUUGGACUGUCCAAGCCUUUCAACAGUGAUGCCCAUACCCAUGUAUCUACAGCAGUGGUGGGUACACCGGGAUAUGUUGAUCCAGAGUAUGCACCCAUUUCUUCAUCUUUGUACUCAUUCUAUUUUCGAUAGGCAUUUUGCAAACGAUAUUCAGAGAAUACAAUGUUAUCCGUAUUUUCAGGUAUUAUACCACCUCGCAGCUCAGCGAGAAGAGCGACGUGUAUAGCUUUGGAAUUGUCCUCCUGGAGGUGAUUACAGGACAACCUGCCAUAUUGCCCGCCCCGGAGAAUGCUCACAUUGUCCAAUGGGUCCGGCAGAGGCUUUCGAGAGGAAACAUCGAGAGUGUAGCCGAUCCAAGGAUGAGAGGAGAGUACGAUAUAAAUUGUGUUUGGAAAGCUGCUGAUCUUGCUUUGAAAUGUACUGAACAAUCCUCCAUUCAGAGACCAACCAUGACCGACACCGUGAUGCAGUUAAAGGAAUGCAUGGAACUCGAGGAAGCGGGCGAAAGAAGCAAUAACUAUUAUUCGGGGAAUAGUAACACGUAUUCGAGGGGAGACAACUUACACACAGAGACCGGCGAUAGCCAGAAUAGUGCAUUCGAGUUGGAAUACAUGCCGAUGAUGCCGGCAGGAACUGGUCCGGCUGCAAGAUGAGAUCGACUAAGAAUGAGUAUUCAUGUUUGGACUUGAUCCGGUUCUGAGUGUGCUAAAAUUUUACAAGUGUAGAUGACUUGAAUAGUAAUUUGUGAAGUAUGAUUAUGAUAAGAUUAUUCUUUCGCCAUUUAUCAUGCUUUCUUGUUGAUUGCACUGAACGAGGAUAUUAUAGUGAGGCUUAGGAGCCGUCUGCUUGGUUGGAUGCAGUUAUAAAUACAAUAAUUCGAGGUAUAUAUAACUAGGCAUGAACCACCUAUACACCUCGUUGGGUUGUACGUAGCUGUAUCUUUUUAUUUGCUUGUGUGCAGCUGGAAGAUGUACUUGCGAAUCUUAUCAUUUCAUUUAUGAGAUGGUAUUGUAGAAUUACUUUGUUCAGCUGUUGUAUUGUCAUUUACGAGCAAUGUUAAGUUGGAUCAAGUUGUAAAAUUGGCUUGAGGGAAAUAUCUGUUAGCCAACAUACAUGCAGGAACUAUGUAACCUAUCAACUUAGCGAGAAGAGCGGCGCAUACAGCUUCGGAGUGGUACACUUGGAGGCGGUCACGGGCCGGCCGGCCAUAUUGCCUGGCCUGCAGAAUGUAGCUCAAUGGGCACAACAACGACUUGCGAGAGGAAACAUUGAGAGUAUAACCGAUGCACGGCUGCGAGGCAAAUAUGGCAUCAAUUCCGUGUAGACAGCUAUCACUUGACGGGCGAUAACUUAUCCCCAGAGACCGGCGAUGCCAGCCGGAGUACUGGUGCAUUUGAGAUGGAACACCUUGAAAUGAUUCCCAAGCUAGUGGUCCGACUCUGAGAUAAGUAUGUUUAUUCUUCUGUUAUUCGUGCACUUAACGCAACUGUUUUGAUUGUAAGACAUGAAGUGGUUUUCUAUGCGAUUUAUUCAGAGAAGUUAACACACUUCUGGGCAUACGAUUCAUAGUUAUGAUCUUCGUGGCCAAAAUUGAGAUGUAUAUUCUAGUUAAGGAUCAUAUGGAUGAUGAAUGCUUAGUAAAAAGUUUGACAUUUUAGGUGUUUCUAUAUCUCUAAUUUGUCCUUGUUGUAAAAGGUUGUUACAUAUAUUUGAGACACUAAAUAGUGUUUGUGGCUUUAAUUUUCCUACAUUGUAGAAAAAACAUUUUUUUCCACAUAAUUUAUUGCUGCUUAAGAAACAAAUUGGUUUUGACUAUUCAAUUAAGCCCUCUCUAAGUCAUAGUUUCGGCUUAAUUACAUCGGUCUAAUUAAGCCACGUGCCCGUGUACUUAGAACUAACUAGGUCAAUGAAAAUUUAAUAAAUACACCUUAAAGUGACAAUUUAUGAAUUAUAAAAAAAGAGUAUGACUUUUCAAUCUUAAAAACUUAAAAUAUUCCCGUUUUCAACUUAAAUGGACUAAACAUAAAAAUGCCAUAGCAAUCGACUUGCUAAAAAUGAAAGUGACCGUUCACUGUCUUAAAUAUAUAUAUAUAUAUAUAUAUAUAUAUAUAUAUAUAUAAGAGUAGGGCUGCUGUGCUCUCAGGAGCACGAGGCCUCCGUGCUCCUUGAGCAGUUUUCGAUGAUGGAAUUUUCGAAUCGACGAUCGCUCCGUUAGACUUGAUCUAGCGCAUUUGAAGUUUCUAGAAAAUAAUUUUGCGAUUUUUCGAUAUCAUUUACCUAGUGAUCGAAAGGAUUCAAAUUCAUAAUUUAAUGGUUAAUAUUUGCCGUUUUCAAGUUUAACGCGUGUAGAAGUAUUCAAAUCAGAUGAAAUUUUGAUAGCAAAUUCUUUAUACUAUCUACAACAAGAUCUAUAUUUCUGAUCGAAAAUUUUAGUGCUAUAUCACCACUUUUAUAGUAUUUUUAUUUUCAGCCGUUAAAAAUUAUUGAUUUUGAAUCUUUCGAUUGCUAGGUAAAUGAUAUUGAAAAAUCGCAAAAAUAUUUCUAGAAACUUUAAAUACGCUAGAUCAAGUUUAACGGAGCCGAUCGUCGAUUCGAAAAUCCAUACUCGAAAGCGGCUCAGGAGCACGGAGGCCUCCGUGCUCCUCAGCACAGCAGCCCUGCUAUAUAAUAUUAAUAUAUAUAUAUAUAUAUAUAUAUAUAUAUAUAUAUAUAUAUAUAUAUAUAUAUAUAUAUAUAUGGCUAAAUGGAUAGUUCCAGUACUAUCCUGAUGCUGCACAGGAUUAAUCGCCUUACUUUUCAACUGAUCACUUUAGUUCUAAAAUUUUCACAUAUAAUUUUAUUUUAAGUCCCGACCGAUAAAAAUACAAGUACAUAUGUAAGAUGGUAAUUCUACUGGGAUUUAGAAAGUCAUUUUACUUCCCAUUUUCUCGGCCAUCAGAGACUAAAAUAAAAUAUAUGUAAAAGUAUAGGAAUCAAGUUACUGCGAUUUACCCAAUUAUAAAAUGAUGUAAUCUUUAUGUCAUUAUGCAAAAACUUAAGUCUUAUUCAAUUUGUUUUAAUAUUCGGCCACUACAAUCACUAGUGAGCGUUGCAUGUAAAACAAAGAACAAGUCAUGUGAAAGCAUCAUCUAAUUAAGAAACUUGUACAUCUAAUUGCUGGGAUCAAUUGCUUUAUCUUAAUAUAGAUUCGAUGACCCAUGAAGCAUCGACAAAAAGAAACUCAUCCAUUGUUGAUAUAUAUAUAUAUAAGUUAUGAUCAAUUGAUAUAUAUACAAAAGAAACUCAUCCAUCUCCUAAGUUUUUUAAUAGAUGUGUAAUCGAUGUUAUUUCAUCAACUCUAGCAAGAUAUUAUUUUUGGUAAACCAUUUGAGAUUUCUAAGGAUUUGUGUAUGCUGCAGUUCUAUUAAAUUUGCAUUUAUUUGCCUAUGUGUUCAAUGUUUAUGAUAAGACUAGUUAAUGAUUUUAAUUAGACCAAGUCCAACUCAUAUUUUUGGGAGUCCAUGAAGAAGCAAAUUUGGAGCUAAUAUUUUGAAUGGCUUUGCUAUAGCUUGCUACAAGCCAAGACCAGUUAAGUUCCCUAAAAAAGUCUAAACUAGUAAAGAGUAAUUAAUGCAUAGUGAUUAGAGCUUAUAUUUUUAGUUAUGUAGAGAUGGCAAAAAUGUAAUGGUAUUUUAAUCAAAGUUUAGAGUCUGUUUGGUCCAACAUUAAUGUGUUGAUCUGGCCUAUCACACAGCGCGGCAGUGGCGAAAAGUAUUAAGAAUAACAGUGAUUAUCACAAACAUAAUAAUUUUUUGAUUUGUUUGGCACUGCACCUCAAAAGCCUUCAGAAAGUUUGAAAAGAGAAGUAUCUCAGAAGUUUCCUCUCACUCUUUCUCACACACACAUAAAAGAAAGAAAAGGACUAGAGGUUAAUAAAGGAAACUUUAGAUUGAUAUCUAAUUAUUUUACCUAAUUAAGGAAUCAAUUGCAUACUAUAUAGAACCUCAAGGUUCAUUAAUCUCCAGGUCUCUGCACUUGGUCCUCUUUUAGAGAGGUGUUGAAGCAUGAGGGGAAUAUUCAUCUACAUGUAAUGACACAAGGAAAUGUUCAAAAGGAUUGCUAUAUUGUGGCUUAAGUGCUAAAGUAGUUGAAUGAGACACUGCAGGAAACAAACAAAUAGUAAGACACACAAUUUCAAUUAAUUGCUACUUUUUUUCUUUUUCUUUUUCUUUUUGUGCAAAUAAGUCCCUUUAUUUACUUGCUUGACCUAACUAGCAUUUAAGUGUGGUUGUCUAAAUAAGGAGUGAGAACAAGAAUGUUAUUAGUAAAAACAUAAAUACACAAUCAAAAUAGACAUUUGAAGGUGAUAAACCUAUGUGCUUUCAUCUUUACAUGUGAUCAAAGCUUCCUGGGAAAAAAAAAAAAAAUUAUUGGAAAAUUUCCUAAUUCUUACAUGUUCUUAGGCAACUCGAUCGCAUACGUAAUCCUAACCGCAGGACCAAGGCGAAACUUUCUCAUAAAAAAGUUCUUAAUUUGUUUCUUACAAAUACUUUACUAUCGAUUAUUAACUCGCUAAAAUCCUACUGAUAAGACGUGUUAAUUUGACGCAUUAUUCUUCUUUGCUUUAAAUCCAAAUUUCGUGCUAUAAUACUUCUUCCAAAAGACCCACUCAGUUUUGGUAUAUACUACUACUCUUCUAAAGUUAAACAGUUCUUGUUCCACAAAGUCAUGCUCUCCUAAUUUCCAAGGCUACAAGCAGAGAACUUGUCAUCUGAAUAUUUCAUUCAUUUAUCCCCUUUUUUCUUUAUUUCUAGAGGAUCAAUGAAUGUUCCUUUUGUACAUAAAAGUAUAGCCUAACAUCACCUUUGGAAACUUGCUGGCCUGCUAACUCUUCAAUGUGGAUUACGCGCAAAUGCAAACAAUUAACUUCAUGUUAUAGAAACCUCAAAAAUAAAUAAUGUAGGUCCUAAUUUAUUGUGCGUCGCAUGCAAGUAUGCAACUUGUGAAUCUUAAAGCAGUAUGAAUGGUAGAUCUGAAUAUCAGAAUUUCUUACGGAGGAUCGCCUUCUAGAUAUUUCUUUUUCAAAAAAAAAAAUAUAAUAAGUGACUAACAAUAUGUGUGUCCCCCUUGGUUGACUCAUUGGUGAGUGUGUUCAUAAAAGGGGUUUUCUCCACCUUCCUUGGUCAAUAUGUUUUUUCUUAUUUUGGAUCUCCUUGAAAGAGGACAAGCACUAAUUGGCUUUGCCUACAUAAGAAUGUGCGACUUUUAGUGGUUUUUUGUGGAAUGAAAAAUAUAGAAAAUAUUAUUUUUUAGCAGCUAAUUUUUAAGUACAAUGAUUGUUUCACAUAAUACCAGAGUAACAAAUUUUGGGUUCAAUCGCAUUGAGCUUCUAAUUUUUUUAAUAUAAGUCCACAUCUUACUCCCUGUUAAUUAAGCUUUAAAGUAAUUGUUUCACAUCUUUUACUUGGUUUGAAGUUGUAAAAAAAAAAAGUCUUAUAUAUAUGCCAUGUCAAAUAAGUUUAUUUAAUAAACUAAUAUCGAUAGUUAAUGAAACAGAACUCAAAAUUCCAAGUUAUAUAUGAAGCAAAUUUCGUUGCGUAUACGUAAAAAAUUAGAGGAUCAAAUUGUAAUUCAUUGAAACUACUGAGUCCAUAAAGCAAACUAUGAGAACUUUGUUAUUUUACUAGCACAAGUGUAACAUUUUCUUUUCUCUUUUUUCUUUUUUUUUUUUUGUUUACAGUACGCAAGAGCACGAGUAAACUAUUACGACCAGUAAUCGCAAUCAGAGGCAUUAUUAUAUGAACUAAAUUACUAUUAACUCGGUCUAAUGUAUAGUAAAAUUUUUAAAACUGCACAUGAAAUAAAAUUAUACUCAAGCUAUGACCAAGUAAGUGACUUUAGAAUCUACAUAUUCUAUUCUAAAUUGUCUCAUUAAAAUAAUAUAUCUAAGGUUUCAAUCAGUAACACAAACCAACCAUUGAUUACACGAUUAUUGAGACAAGUCAACCAUGAAGGCACUACUUAAUCACAGUAAAUGAAGUAUUAUACACUGUGGAUAACUCCAAACUAGGAUAUAAAUGAUACUCCUUGUUAUCUAGCAAGAAGGAAAUUUAAGAGACCCUAAUUGCUAAGUUGAAACUUUUACUUUAGUUGCAGAAAGUAAACAAUUAAGAUUAUUUAUUUAAAUAUCUAUAUCACAUUCCUCCUAAUUGCUGUAUUUAAAUAUGAUCACAUAAAAGCGGAGUGUCUCUCUAGGAGGCCAUUGAGCUCUUCCGCCAGAUAUAAUACUGUUUGGUAAAUUAUAUGUAAAGUUGCGCUUUAAGAAGGAAUACUGUAAUAUUGUUUUGUUUUGUAGACAGUUUCCUUGAUCAUGUAGCAAAAUCGAACUAUAAAUUAGAGCUUUUCUUUUUAAUAUAUUUUGAGAGAGAAAUAUAGCAAGCUGACCGCUUCGUUUAAUUUUUAGAAAUAAAUUUAACAAAAAAUAUGAAACAAGUUGACUUUGAACUUGAAACUUCGGGUAUCAAUUAUCAAAUCUUUAGCAAACAGUGCUAGACACAAUCAGUUAUAAACUCAAAAUUUUAUUUUAACUUUUCAUUAUAGCAUAUAUAACUUUUAAAUCUUUCAACGUGCCAAAUGCUACAAACGUAGGAAACAAAGUAACAAACGGUAGGGGGAUAUGAUCUUUCGAAGCAUCCAACUAGAUUCCCUCGUGGCGGUAUAUAAAUUUAAGGAGUUGCUGAAAUUCUGGAAGCUAUGUGCAUAAAUUGCUAGACGUCCUACCAUAGCGGUUUUUUUUUUUUUUUUCGCACCCCUUCGAGGCUCUGACUGUCUCGUCCAUAUAGCCUAAUUUAUAUUUUCAAUAAAUAAAAUAGAUAGCGUGCUAUCUUUUCUUAAAAAAAAAAAAAAACAAACGGUAGGGGGAGAAAAAAAAGAAAAGAGAAUUAAGAAAGGCAAAAGGUCCAGGCUGCGCCAGUGGCGUGCGAAGAGAAGCUUCAUGGAAGCUGAUACGUACUCUGACAAAUAUAAACGGCCACAGUGUCCAGGCCCCACCCCAACAAGCUUUUUCAGCAUAAACAAAUAAUAUGAUUUUUCUCAAUAUAUACUUGAGAUCAAUAAAUAAACAAAUUAAAUAAUAUACACAAACUAAUUAUGUAAGAACCAAUUAAUCAUGGGAAUCUUGUGCUCUGAAAACGCUUGAUGGCUACGUUUCCCCUAUCUCUCUCUCUCUCUAUCUCUCUCUAAUUCUUCUACUUGGCUUUGAAUGAGUCAAAUAUAUAUAUAUAUAUAUAUAUAUAUAUAUAUAUAUAUAUAUGCUUCACCUCCCAAUCCCAUGCAAACUUCGUGACCUCUGAGAAUUCAGAAGGUGAAGAAGCAGUCAACAUAUUUCUGAGCAGAAGCAUGCAUGACACUCAUGCGCUUUUCAUUGCCCAGGUCCAAACACUAAUUCUUCUUGGACUGCAUGCUUCUCAUUAACUUUUCCAAACAAUUACUUAAUUAAUUACUAGUAAUUAAUUGAUUUUAGCAAUUAAUAAUAAGCUCUAACUUUUUUUUUUCUUUUAAGAUAAAUAUCUUUUAGAUAGCAUGAUAUCAGAACCAGUUCUAAACACUCGCAACAGCUUAUAUGGAAGUGUUAAGAUUUUUUUCCGAAUGAUAACCUAUUUGAUUGAUCACUCGGAUAUUAAUACGAUGACUUCAAAUUAGACCAAAUCUCUUUUCCAUAAUCCAUGCAUAUUGUAACACCAUCUUUCUCUCUAUGCAUUUACAAGAAGCUCUAUUACAUAAGACAAAGUUAAAGCAAGAAAGAAGGGAUCUGGUUCAACAAGAAACACUAGCCUACUGUUUCAUUUCAACUGUAUCACCUAAUUCAUCUCUUUAUAUUGCAUUUCUGAUACAAGAAAGGAUGUUAGACUCUGGUACACGCCCUGCGGCUUCAUCUCCGAAUUCGAACCCCACGUGCUGGAUAGGCUCGAAAAGCAGUUAAGGUCACCAGCCAUGGGACAGCCGAAGCCGAGCUCGGAGAAGAAGAAGGCGUCGUCGCCUCCGUUUCCAUCGAUAGACCAAUUAUAGCUACUGCUAUUGUUGUUGUUGUUGUUGUUGUUGUUGUUGCUGUUGUUGUUGUUGUUGCUGUUGUUGUUGUUGUUGUUGUUGUCGACUGUGAUCGAGGACGAAGAAGCGGAGGCCUCUUCGGUCGACGGCGACAGAUGAGCAGUGAAUGCAUAGACUUGGGCGAGCAGGUCCUCCGAGGGCAUGGCGAAAGAUUCAGCUUUGAUGGUUGGGAGGUGAUCAGGCAGCGGCAGCGGCGGCGGCAGCGGCGGCGACGUCGGCAGGCUGUGGUAGAUGCGGGACGAAGAGGAGGUGGAGGUGGUGGUAAUGAGACCGGCCGCGAACUUCUUCUUGAGCUUGGUGUUCCAAUAAUUCUUGAUAUCGUUAUCUGUUCUUCCGGGUAAUUUAGAAGCAAUAAUAGACCACCUAACUCAUAAUUUUAAAAAUUUAGUAAGUAUUUUUGGUUGAACAUAAAAUAUAAAAUUAAAGCCUUUAGCAAUAAAUUAGUCGUUAAUUAUUUCAAAUACUAUAUUCAGAGCAGAAUACAUGUAUAUAUAUAUACUCACUAUUAGAAACAAUUAAACAACUAUUUUGAUAUUUUAUUAAUAACUUCAAUCAGAUUGGUUAAGAUGAUAACUUCAUCUUCUUUUUAUAUUUUUUCUUUUGUUAUAUAAUUAAUAUACCUGCUUCCGAUUGAGUUGUAGAGAGAGCAAAUGAUUGUAUCUUCUUCUUCUGUGAAGCCUCCAUGCUUUAUGUUGGGUCUCAGGUAAUUGAGCCAUCUUAAGCGGCAGCUUUUGCCACAGCGUUUGAGGCCUAAAAAUCAUUAAUUAAUAUGUGUGAACUUAUAAGUAAACGUGCAUGAAGAGGAGAAAUUUAAACUGUGUGAGAUGGAGAGAGAAUUAAGAGACCCAAAUAUUGUGCUAGAUCAUAGCAAUAUAUAAAAAUACAUAAAUAUAUAUAUAGCUUUCAAUUAAUUAAUGCCCAAAAAGAAUGUAGUUGUACAAUAAGCCUUCUUGUCAUUUGCUUUGACAAUGGAGCAUUUUAUUUUAUCUUAAUUUUGAACCCCUUAGAACAUCUAAAUUUUAGAAACAUUAUAAAAUUUUUCUCAAGUUUCAAGUAAAUUUAGGAUGAUUUGAAGUUCAGGUGACUAUGUACGUACGUACCAUUAAUUCUAACAAGAAACAAAUCACAGAAAAAAAAAAAAAAAAAGGAAAAGGAAAGUGUGGGGGGUGGUUGUAAAUUGUUGAAAUUAAUGCAAGAGACACCACGGAAAACAACACCCGAACAACAAUGAAAAGACACUUUGUGUACGUGCUCCAAAUUAAUAAAGGAGAAACGUGGUUAAUUAAUUGAACUGGGUACACAAAAUUAAACCAAAUUAAACAACUGGGGUUUCAUAUAUGUAUGGAGAAUAUAUACAAUUAAGCAAAUUAAGCAUUAAUUAAGCAAAGCAAUUUACCAGCUUUUUGGGGCAAAGCGAUCCAAUUCCCACCAUUCCCAUACAUCUCCACGUAGCUCCUGAGAAUGGCGUCCUCUUCGGGCGACCAUGGCCCCCUCUUCACAUUCCUCUUAUCACAGCAAGGUGCUCUCCCCAUUUUAAUUACUAACAAUUCAAAGAGAAAGAGAAGAGAUAUAUUAGAGAGAGAGAGAGAGAGAGAGAUGUAGAGAGAGAGAGAGAGGGGACAAAUGGGACUAAGAAUGGUCUCGGGGGCCUUUUAUAUAGCCUUGUGGGGGGAGAGAAAGUGGAGGUAUUAUUGCCUGGACCAGGUACAUUUUGUUUUUUUAGAGAAAAAAAAUUUUAAAAACUCAGAUACCAACCAUCCAUUAGGUUCUGUUCUGAGUAAAUUAUGCUAGAACGAUAGAUAAGACUUUUGAAUGUUAUGCAUAUAAAUUAGAUUUCGAUUUAACAACAUGUAAUAUGACAAUUUAUUAAUCAGCGUGCCGGGAAUUAAAACAAAAAGUUCUAAUCUCCAACUUCUAGAAUAGCAAUUACGACUAUUGAACAAGAAAAAAAAAAGAUUUUAAUGUUUAAAUCUGUAUAUAAGAUUUUUGUUUUUUUUGUUUUGGUAAGUUACACCUAGUGUAGGCAAUAAUUUCUUCAACAAAGAGAGAGAGAGAGAGAGAGAGAGAGAGAGAGAGAAUUAUUUACUUGUCUCGUUGUCAUUAUGGUCGCAAAUGUGAGGGNGGUACAGAGACUAUCUAUUUCUUACUUUUGGCCGCCUCUUUCUCUUUCUCACUAGCGUUCGUUGGUUUUUCGUGUAGUAGAAGAGACCGCGAUGAGUUGGCGAAAUAAGGCUGGUGGUUGUAAUGCCACGACCGUGUGAGGGGAGGAAUUCUACACUGUCACAUUUGCACCACGUCAUUAAUAACAAGUCAAUCAUAUUCAUUCUUUUCAAACAAAAGUACAAUAAAAAUAUUUUUUUACAAUCAUGAUAGGACAUAUAUUCUUAAAAGGAUUAAUUUGAUUGAUUUGUUACGCCACGUCACUAAUAUACCCGUUGCAUUCUAGAAUUUUUCGUGUGAGGGGGACACGUGGGGCCCACAUGUC